rnacentral:rRNA from 1 species
UACAGAGGUCCCGAGCGUUGUUCGGAUUCAUUGGGCGUAAAGGGUGCGUAGGCGGCGGGGAAAGUCUGAUGUGAAAUCCUGGGGCUCAACCCUGGAACUGCAUUGGAUACUUCCUUGCUAGAGUACUGGAGAGGAAACUGGAAUUUACGGUGUAGCAGUGAAAUGCGUAGAGAUCGUAAGGAAGACCAGUGGCGAAGGCGAGUUUCCGGACAGUUACUGACGCUGAGGCACGAAGGCCAGGGGAGCAAACGGG